UGCCUGCCUGGAGCGUCUCCGGGUAACAGAUGCUCGCCUUCCGCACCCUUUAUCGUUCUUAGCCUCCUCUUCUCCCUACCGCCUGCAGCUCUGCUCCCAUUCCGGCAUGUUAAGGGCGGCACGGGGUGCCCGUGAUUGCGCCCCUCGCAGCAGCGGCGCCCCGCGGGCUGUGUCCGCCGCGUGCGCAAUGGGAGGCCCGGAGUCCACGAGGGCCGCGCCCUUCGCCCCGCGCUUCCCACGGCGCCGGUCAGAUUUAGCGAGCAACAUGAUGGGCCUGAACUGCUCUUUAAAACGUUUAUAUGAGGGCGAAGAUCAAGCGAGUCCGCGCUAGUCAGCGGUUUGGACCUACGGAAUGCCCCCGAGACCCCAGAAAGCCUAGCAGCCGAGUUACAGGAAGUCACGGCUGCUGCUGCACACGAUUUGGAAGGAGACAUUGUGCCAGCAGAAGCCAAAACCUUUGAUGCCGAUGGCUAGGUGAAGGAAAGAAUAUCUAGUAGGACAGUUCUUAGCUAUCCUGAGUGAAUAUUUCAGGCUUUCUGGUUUUCUGAAAUAGCUGAAACUGACAGCUGAUCGCUGGAGCUGUUCCUUUAAAGGUCUUCAUCAAUAAAUUAUCAAUAAAGCUCCUGCUGUGAAUUUAUGUUAUUAGCGUGAAAAGUGAAGAGACAAGCUGGAAAAUGGAUAUGUGGGGUUUUAGGCUGCAACUCAGAAGACAAGCAAUUGCAGAUGACUGUACUUACUCCUCAGCAAUAAUGUCAAUACCUGACAAACUGAUCAAAUAAAGCUUGGAGUUUCCAUCAUGAAA